UACAGAGGUCUCAAGCGUUGUUCGGAUUCAUUGGGCGUAAAGGGUGCGUAGGUGGCGCCGUAAGUCGGGUGUGAAAUUUCGGAGCUUAACUCCGAAACUGCAUUCGAUACUGCGGUGCUUGAGGACUGGAGAGGGAUGCGGAAUUCCAGGUGUAGCGGUGAAAUGCGUAGAUAUCUGGAGGAACACCGGUGGCGAAGGCGGCAUCCUGGACCGGCAUUGA
rnacentral:rRNA from 1 species